rnacentral:rRNA from 1 species
CCAAAGAUUCCCCACUCCUGCCUCCGCCCCCCCCGCCGGGCCCCCCCCCCGCCCGCCGGGCGGGGCGGGGGGGGGGGGGGCAGGGGGGGCUUACGGGAGGCAGCAGUGGGGAUUCUUGCCCAACGGGGGAAACCCUGAUGCAGCCAUGCCGCGUGAAGGAAGAAGCCUUUAGGAAAAAAAGUCUUUCAGGAGGAGGA